GAUGAACGCUGGCGGCGUGCCUAAUACAUGCAAGUCGAGCGAACAGAUAAGGAGCUUGCUCCUUUGAAGUUAGCGGCGGACGGGUGAGUAACACGUGGGUAACCUACCUAUAAGACUGGGAUAACUUCGGGAAACCGGAGCUAAUACCGGAUAACAUUUAGAACCGCAUGGUUCUAAAGUGAAAGAUGGUUUUGCUAUCACUUAUAGAUGGACCCGCGCCGUAUUAGCUAGUUGGUAAGGUAACGGCUUACCAAGGCGACGAUACGUAGCCGACCUGGGAGGGUGAUCUGCCACACUGGAACUGAGACACGGUCCAGACUCCUACGGGAGGCAGCAGUAGGGAAUCUUCCGCAAUGGGCGAAAGCCUGACGGAGCAACGCCGCGUGAGUGAUGAAGGGUUUCGGCUCGUAAAACUCUGUUAUUAGGGAAGAACAAAUGUGUAAGUAACUGUGCACAUCUUGACGGUACCUAAUCAGAAAGCCACGGCUAACUACGUG
rnacentral:rRNA from 1 species